CGAGGAUCAGAGACGAACAGAGCUAAACAAUUUGGACGAGAGAGGCGACGAACGGAGUGCGACGAGAGACGAAGACAGAGAGAGUCGGCGGUGAGGCGAGUGGAGGCGGCGAGAGACGAACACAGAGGUCGACGAACGCGAGGCGGCGACGAGAAAAUGAAGAAAUUCACUUUUGACGGAACAGAGCCAAGGGAAAGUUAAGUCAAUGACUAGUGGAACAAAACAAUGUUGUUAAUGAGUUGGACAACUAUGGUUGGAAGCCGAAACUGGGGAUGCCAUUUGAUUUAGAACACGCCAUUUUGUUUCCUUGUUUUUUUGGUGUUGAAUGGUAUUCAUGGAUGUAAUUUUAUUUUCUUAGAGUUGUAGCAGUGAUCAAUUUUCAGUCCAAAUGGAUUACUGUAUUUGUCAUUUAUUAAUGUUAGAGUUCAAUUGUCAGUUACAUGAAUACACAAUUUCUAGUUGAAUGGAUACACUUUGCCAAUAUAUGGGUUACAUUUUUUUGUGGGUUACAUUUUGUUUCAUUUGGUCUAUGAUACGCUUUAUUUCACUUGAAUUUUUUUUUUUUCCCCUCUAUAGUU